AACGAACGCUGGCGGCAUGCCUAACACAUGCAAGUCGAACGAGACCUUCGGGCCUAGUGGCGCACGGGUGCGUAACGCGUGGGAAUCUGCCCUUGGGUUCGGAAUAACAGUUGGAAACGACUGCUAAUACCGGAUGAUGACGUAAGUCCAAAGAUUUAUCGCUCCAGGAUGAGCCCGCGUAGGAUUAGCGAGUUGGUGAGGUAAAGGCUCACCAAGGCGACGAUCCUUAGCUGGUCUGAGAGGAUGCUCAACCACACUGGGACUGAGACACGGCCCAGACUCGUACGGGAGGCAGCAGUAGGGAAUAUUAGACGAUGGACGAAAGCGUGACCCAGCAAUGCCGCGUGAGUGAUGAAGGCCUUAGGGUUGUAAAGCUCUUUUACCCGAAAUGAUAAUGACAGUACCGGGAGAAGAAGCACCGGCUAACUACGUG
rnacentral:rRNA from 1 species